rnacentral:rRNA from 1 species
GAUGAACGCUAGCGGCAGGCCUAACACAUGCAAGUCGAGGGGUAACUAGAGUGAUAGCAAUAUUACUUUGGCUAGACCGGCGCGCGGGUGCGUAACACGUAUGCAACCUACCUUAUACUGGGGAAUAACUUCGAGAAAUCGGCGCUAAUACCCCAUAACAUUGCGAAGAGGCAUCUCUUUGCAAUUAAAGCUCCGGCGGUAUAAGAUGGGCAUGCGUCCAAUUAGCUAGUUGGUGAGGUAACGGCUCACCAAGGCUACGAUUGGUAGGGGUUCUGAGAGGAAGAUCCCCCACACUGGUACUGAGAGACGGACCAGACUCCUACGGGAGGCAGCAGUGAGGAAUAAUGCGCAAUGGACGAAAGUCUGACGCAGCCAUGCCGCGUGCAGGAUGACGGCCCUAUGGGUUGUAAACUGCUUUUGUACGGGAAUAAACCCUUCUACGUGUAGGAGGCUGAAGGUACCGUAAGAAUAAGCACCGGCUAACUCCGUGCCAGCAGCCGCCGUAAGAC